UGCCCAGCAACUCCUAUCCCUACCUCCUCGCGGUACUGGCCAUGUCAGGGGCGGCUGAUCAUCGUCCGAGUGCCAGAGAAGG
rnacentral:ribozyme from 1 species